CCAUCCCUACGGGACGCAGCAGUGGGGAAUAUUGCACAAUGGGGGAAACCCUGAUGCAGCGACGCCGCGUGAGUGAAGAAGUAUUUCGGUAUGUAAAGCUCUAUCAGCAGGGAAGAAAAUGACGGUACCUGACUAAGAAGCCCCGGCUAACUACGUGCCAGCAGCCGCGGUAAUACGUAGGGGGCAAGCGUUAUCCGGAUUUACUGGGUGUAAAGGGGGCGUAGACGGUCCUGCAAGCCAGAUGUGAAAGCCCGGGGCUCAACCCCGGGACUGCAUUUGGAACUGUAAGGCUAGAGUGUCGGAGA
rnacentral:rRNA from 1 species